rnacentral:lncRNA from 1 species
AGGAAUUGGUACUUAUCUCCUGGGCUGAAGAUAAAUUUGGUUUACGAAGGGAAACCCUAAGACAUCAAUGCAGCGUUGUCAAGCACAACGAGGGUAAUCUUUUCCAAUGUAGUGAAGCACUUUUGCUGAAAACCACAGAAAAUGGACAAGAGUGUCAUUUACAUUAUAAAGGACCUCCUCAGGAUAUUUUGUCCAUUUGUUCUAGUUACUAUAACGUUGAAGGGGAAAUACAUUCAAUAGAUGGUGAAAAAAGGAGAAUGUUUGAACAAGCUACUGACUAUAUGCUAGAUGGACAAGAAGUGAUCGCAUAUGCUUGGAAACGCACAGAUGCGUCUAAUGAUAUGUCAAUUGAAGCAAACGAUUUGAUCUUUGUAGGAAUGGUUGGCCUGAGAAACAUAGAUCAGGAUUGUAUAAGAAAUGCUGUCUCAACUUUGAGAAAAGGUGGAGUUAGGACUAUUCUUGUCUCAGGAGAUUGUAUUGAUGUACUUAGAACUAUUGGCAACAACUGUGGGCUGCUUACUCCGGAGUCGGAUGCUCUAACAGGUGAGGAAUUUAGGAACCUAACUGACGGAGAGAGAAGGCAGAAGUUGGACAGAAUCUGUAUCAUCGGAAACUGUACCUUGCACGACAAGGUUCUUCUGGUGAAGUGCUUGAGAGAAAAAGGUGAAGUGGUUGCAAUGUUGGGGCAGAAAACAAAUGAUGCUCCAGCACUAAAAGAAGCUGAUAUAGGGCUGACAAUGGGGACUUGGAGCUCAGAAAUUGCCAGAGAUUGCUCGGAGAUCAUUAUCUGGAACGGGGAUUUUACUUUUCUUGUUAAGCUGAUCAAUAACGGGAGAUGCAAUAAUGAGAACAUAAGAAAAUUCAUCCAAUUCCAGCUCAUAAUUACCAUAUCAAGCUCAUUUAUUAAUUUCAUCGCAACUAUAGUUUGGGGGGAUGCCCCCAUGACAGCAUUUGAGUUGUUCUGGUUGAACAUGGUGGUUGCAAUUCCUGGAGGCUUGGCACUGCUGAGUGAGUGUCCAAAAGAAAGCCUAAUGAAAAUGCCUCUGAAAUCAGCUGGACAACUUAUUACCAAGGCCAUGUGGAGAAAUAUUGCCCUACAAGCUUCUUAUCAAACUGCCAUAUGUCUGUCUCUUCACCUCAAAGGACGUGCAAUCCUUGGAAUAGGUGCUGGCCCCAUUAAGUCCAUGAUUUACAAUUCCUUGUUUCUCUGCCAGUUAUUCAACUUAUUCGUUGCUAGAGAGCUUGAAAAGAAGAAUAUUUUCAAAGGUCUUCACCAGAAUAGAUGGUUUUGGGUGGCAUGUGCUAUUUUUCUAACGUGUCAAGCAGCAAUGGUGGCAGCAGACAAUGUGUUCGACAUUAGUACGAGGUUGAACUGGAUGUUGUGGGCUUCAUGCAUUCUAAUCGGACUAAUUUCAUGGCCGCUGGAUUUCGCAGGGAAAUGGAUUGGUUCGCUAGUAUUCCUUUCCUGAUAAUGAAUUUAUUUUUAUUUUUGGUAUGUCAUGCAUGCAUUUUUUUAUUAUGCAUGUAAAUAUCAAUAAAGAUACUUGGAUGCUGUAAAAAUUACAGCUCUCCCCACUUUUAUAUGGGAGAGGGGUGUACAAGUUGUUGUACAUGUAGCACUUUGGUGUAAAUAUAAGCCAUUUACUCUCUUUUUGUAUUAUAAAUAUUGUAAAAUAUGAGUUGUGGAUCAUCCAUGUGAGGUGAUCUGACCCACAAGUUAUUAAAGUGGAUUGGAGGGAGUGAUUUGAAUAGAAUUCAAAUUCAUAACUUCCCUCAAUUUUUAUCAACUUCCAUAACUUUAUUUUGCACUUUUGAGAGAGAGAGAGAGAGAGAGAGAGAAGGUAAGAAUAAAAUGAAAUUCGUAUAGAAAAUCACUCAAAAAUAGAAAAAUGCCUGAAACGACAUAUAUGACAUGAAAAUUCAUAAAAUUAGACAUUUAAAUUGUAGAUAAUAAUCCCUCAUCCAUUGUGAUAGGGACUGAGACUAUUGGAGAAGAAGAAAAUGAAGAUUUUGAAACUUUAAAAUACAAGGUGAUUCAACUACAUAGAUUUUGGAAUUCAUUUUUUCAAGUAAGGAGUCUUGAUCCGAAAUUUAUGAUUACGCAUGUUUCAAAUUAUUACAUUGGCAUCAGAGCCGUAAAGUUGAUUUCCUUACUAUAAUACAUGCUUAAAUAUUAUAUUACAUGAUUCAAUUGAGUUAUAAAUCUUACAUGUAAAGUUUCGAAACCUUAUAUGGUCUUUAAUGACAUUUUUUGAUAUAUCUGUUUAAAAUUAAUGAAAUUUUGCAAUUAAUCUAUUAAUCACUCUCCUCCACUAGUGUCAUGGCAAGUAUACAUAUUUCAAUUAGCUAACACCAGAAUAAAUUACACCAACAAAAUAAACAAUAAUGAUGUCACAUGUCACUUUAUUAUUGGAUCGUUUUAAACACAGAUAGUUUUUCAUCCAUUCAAAUUUGUCAACACAUAUUAUGUCACUUUAUCUAUCAAUCACUUUUUGGCAAAGUGACAUAACCCAAAAUAAAAUAACCAUGGCGUUCUCUAAAUACAGACAUCCAUCGUCCUCAAUGUGUAGUUAUCUUCUCUUAUCACUACCAAGUUUAGCAUUUAGCAAGCAUCAAAUAUGUUUGAAUUCACUAAAAUUCGGGUUUUCCAAGUUUUAUCCAUUUAAAUAAAAACAAAACAAGAGCAAUUGCAUUCCACAUACAGAACUAACGAUUUUUUUUUAUUUUUUUUUCCAAAAGGAUCAAUUGCCCAAGAAUGCAAAGGUUUGUGUCUUAAUUUGCACCAAGAUUUAAAGAUUUAGCCUCCAUUUUUUGUAAUAAAAAUGGGUGGAAUAGUAUUUUUUUGAAAAAUGAGUGGUUGGACAGAGGAAAAAGUUUUCGAUUUAAGUGUAAUAUUUAUUUUAUGAAAAUAAGAAAGAGAAAAAUAAAAUAGAAUUUAAUAAGAGCGAGCAUAGUUUUUUUCUCGCAAAUCUAUCCCUUUUAAAAAUAGAUGGGUUUAAGUCAACCCAGCAUAGUUUUUUUCCUUGCAAAUCGAUUCAAUAAAGUAACUUGACAAUUUUUUGAUAGAGUUCAGUGUUUAGCAAUUUGCUUAUCACACCAGUAAAAGUUACUUUUUAACUAAACUGCUAUAAUGUUCAACCCUCGCUUGCAAUCACCGAAUUUCAUGUUUAAUGUACCGUUAUUGCAAACCACAAAUCUUUUU